rnacentral:rRNA from 1 species
AACGUAGGAGACAAACGUUAUCCGGAGUUACUGGGCGUAAAGGGCGUGUAGGUGGUUUCGUAAGUCUGGCGUGAAAUUUCUCGGCUUAACCGAGGCAGGUCGUCGGAUACUGCGGAACUUGAGGACGGUAGAGGCGUGUGGAAUUCCGGGUGUAGUGGUGAAAUGCGUAGAGAUCAGGAAGAACAUCGGUGGCGAAGGCGCUCUGCUGGACCAUAACUGACACUCAGGGACGAAAGCUAGGGGAGCGAAUGGG